UACGGAGGGUGCGAGCGUUGUCCGGAAUCACUAGGCGUAAAGGGCGCGUAGGCGGCUUUGUAAGUCGGGGGUGAAAGCCUGUGGCUCAACCACAGAAUUGCCUUCGAUACUGCAUGGCUUGAGACCGGAAGAGGUAAGUGGAACUGCGAGUGUAGAGGUGAAAUUCGUAGAUAUUCGCAAGAACACCAGUGGCGAAGGCGGCUUACUGGUCCGGUUCUGACGCUGAGGCGCGAAAGCGUGGGGAGCAAACAGG
rnacentral:rRNA from 1 species